AAAAUGAACUAGCUGCUUUUUUUUCAAAAGAAACAGUGAUUACACGAUAAAAUUACUCUAAACCCUUCCCACGUAUUGGCCGGCAACAAAGAUCCAGCAAUUCAUCUUAUAUACAGCCAAGGGGUUGCUUAGCGCAAACAUUUGAUCAUCUGGUGUAAACAGGGCAAACAGGCCCCUCAUCAGCUAUAUCGAAUGCGUAAAUUGAUUUUGCUAGUUACCUCUUGU
rnacentral:misc_RNA from 1 species